rnacentral:rRNA from 1 species
AUACGUAGGGGACGAGCGUUGUCCGGAAUUACUGGGCGUAAAGGGCGCGCAGGCGGAUAUUUAAGUCAGCUGUAAAAGGCAUGAGCUCAACUCAUGUAUGCGGUUGAAACUGGGUAUCUAGAGUGCUGGAGAGGUAGGCGGAAUUCCCGGUGUAGCGGUGAAGUGCGUAGAUAUCGGGAAGAACACCAGUGGCGAAGGCGGCUUACUGGCCAGCAACUGACGCUGAGGCGCGAAAGCCAGGGGAGCGAACGGGAUUAGAUACCCCGGUAGUCCUGGCCGUAAACGAUGAAUGCUAGGUGUGGGUGUCGAGAGGCAUCCGUGCCGGAGUUAACGCGAUAAGCAUUCCGCCUGGGGAGUACGAUCGCAAGAUUGAAACUCAAAGGAAUUGGCGGGG